rnacentral:rRNA from 1 species
UGCUCAGGAUGAACGCUGGCGGCGUGCCUAAUACAUGCAAGUCGAGCGAACAGACGAGGAGCUUGCUCCUUUGACGUUAGCGGCGGACGGGUGAGUAACACGUAGGUAACCUACCUAUAAGACUGGGAUAACUUCGGGAAACCGGAGCUAAUACCGGAUAAUAUUUCGAACCGCAUGGUUCGAUAGUGAAAGAUGGCUUUGCUAUCACUUAUAGAUGGACCUGCGCCGUAUUAGCUAGUUGGUAAGGUAACGGCUUACCAAGGCAACGAUACGUAGCCGACCUGAGAGGGUGAUCGGCCACACUGGAACUGAGACACGGUCCAGACUCCUACGGGAGGCAGCAGUAGGGAAUCUUCCGCAAUGGGCGAAAGCCUGACGGAGCAACGCCGCGUGAGUGAUGAAGGUCUUCGGAUCGUAAAACUCUGUUAUUAGGGAAGAACAAACGUGUAAGUAACUGUGCACGUCUUGACGGUACCUAAUCAGAAAGCCACGGCUAACUACGUGCCAGCAGCCGCGGUAAUACGUAGGUGGCAAGCGUUAUCCGGAAUUAUUGGGCGUAAAGCGCGCGUAGGCGGUUUUUUAAGUCUGAUGUGAAAGCCCACGGCUCAACCGUGGAGGGUCAUUGGAAACUGGAAAACUUGAGUGCAGAAGAGGAAAGUGGAAUUCCAUGUGUAGCGGUGAAAUGCGCAGAGAUAUGGAGGAACACCAGUGGCGAAGGCGACUUUCUGGUCUGUAACUGACGCUGAUGUGCGAAAGCGUGGGGAUCAAACAGGAUUAGAUACCCUGGUAGUCCACGCCGUAAACGAUGAGUGCUAAGUGUUAAGGGGGUUUCCGCCCCUUAGUGCUGCAGCUAACGCAUUAAGCACUCCGCCUGGGGGAGUACGACCGCAAGGUUGAAUAG